CGCCGCUGCGGCUCUUCACCUCUGGCGUUGCUGCCACCGCGCCUUUUUCCUUUCCUCUCAUCGCUACCGCAAAUUGCUGUUCUUGCGGUGCAUUUCCCUCCCCUGCCGCCGCUGCGGCUCUUCACCUCUGGCGUUGCUGCCACCGCGGCUAUUUCCUUUCCUCUCAUCGCUACAGCAAAUUGCUGUUCUUGCGGUGCAUUUC
rnacentral:lncRNA from 1 species